rnacentral:misc_RNA from 1 species
CUUGCAGCUUAUUUGGUCCUAAGAAAAACAGGAUUUAUGGAGCAGCUGCUAUGGACAUUCAAGUGUGAGAAUGUGGAGAUCCAGAGUGUUCUUGAGGAUCUUAUAAAAGGAAGGGAACUGCAAACAACAAAUUUGAUGACAACUCUGCUAAUCAAAGAUCAAGCAACACAGCAAAUCAACUCAAUCCAAUUUCCUUUCAAAUCUUUAGUCGUUUAUUUCAAUCCAGUCAAUUUCCAUUUGAUUCCUGGUAUAGGAAUUUCAAUUUCUAAGUCCUGUAUUUCUAUUUCUAAUAUUUAUUACAAAAUCAAACAAAGAUCCAUUUGCAUUCCAAUAUAUAAAAGCCUUGUAAUCUGUUUUCGAUUUCACAAUGGCAAAACUCUCCAGUCCAACUAGUUCCCCACUGUGUGAUUUUUAGAAGUCAGUUUUAGCGCAUCUUUGGUUGACAUACCUAGUGUUUGGCAUGCUUGGUGGGGACUCGAACCCAUAAUCCUCUGAUACCCAUAAACUUCACACUUUCCUCUCAUAAGAAACCUAAUUUUACUCAAAUAUUUUUCUAUUUUACAACCUAGCUUCACUUUCCUCACUAUAAAACCAUCCAUCUUGUUACUGCUUACAAUCAAAAGCUGACGUUACAUCGCUCCAACAAUGUCUCACACGCCAUGAUAGCAUUUUGGUGGUCCCUGAACCUAUCUUCCUCAG